UUACACACUAGCCUGUAUUUCAUCUCUGUGACUUCCUUCCUAUCCAAUUUAGGAAUGGCUUUGUUAAUGCAAGCCUACACACAAAUACCGGGCCUAUACAGGCUAGUUCUGCCAAGAUGGAAAAUAGGAGCAUGACUUCCAAAAAUGGCUUGAUUCUUCUGGAAGCAUAUGAGCCAGUCAUAUCUGUGGAGAAAGACAGUGACAAGAUCUGUCAAGCUUUCGAAGACUGUGUCAGCUAAGUCCCCUCCUGUUCCCUGAUUAAGAGGUGAUGACUACUCCACUCCACUACCAUUGUCAACUUUCUCCUGACAUGAACAGAAGGCACAGCGUCUCAUGCGCCCGCUCAUCCACUGGCACGUUGAAUGUUUCCCCUCAAAGCACUUUUGUCUUCCCAGUCAAAUCCUGUCCUGCACUGGUCAAGCCUCUGAACACCUCAAUUUAUGCCUCAUGCCCUCAUUCAGUCAUUGCUGUGAUCCCUUUCCAACACUGUAAGUAGCCCUCGCAUUCCCAAUAAUAUUGUACUUUAAAUGUCUUUAUUAAAUGCUUCAGGUUAAAGUACACGUUUUUGAAAUACAGUUUGUAGUCUCUGUGCGUUCCACGCCUAUACUGUGGGUCUCCCAUCCUCCUCAAUUGUUCAAGUCACCAGCCUCAACUACUAUGGACUCAACCCAGUCGUUCGAUCUAAAUGUUACAUUGCCAUACUGGCUGGCAACGUUCUUAUCCCUUGCUUGCUAGCUAGCAAACUAUGGCUAACUUAGUCACAUCAAACAGUGCAGCCAGAUUAACACCAAAGCAGCUGCAUUUGCAUUUGUUAAGCUGUCUUCUAUUGACAUUUCGUUGUAUAUAUCCCUAAAAAUGAUGCCAGUUGUUUCAUGAUUUCAACUGGCUGAGAAAAGCUGCCUGUCUCAUCCCGAAUCGUUCAUUAAUAUGGGACAUCUGGAGAUCGAAUUUCAAUAUUGACACAUUGUUGCAAAUGACGGAGAGACAGGCAGCAAGGUUUAUACACUGUCUCCGCUGUUGAAAACCAAAUGCUAGUCUAAAUGUCUAGAUACUUUUUAAAGUGGAGAUCAAGUUUAUAAAUUGCCUUGCUGGGCUGAUGAGACUGUGGAUUGCGCAGUGAUAUGGAUAUGGAGUCAAUAGGCAUUUCAACAACAUAGCUUUAGCCAGUGGGAAUUUGUGGAAUAGACACUGGCUGGAAUGCAGUUUUAACCAAUCAGCAUCCAGAAAUAGACCCACCCGUUGUAUAAUUAAGCAAUUAGGCCCGAGGAGGUGUAGUAUAUGGCCAAUAUACCACGGCUAAGGGCUGUUCUUAUGCACGACGCAACAUUCCUGAACCCAGCCGUUAGCCGUGGUAUAUUGGCCAUCUACCACAAACUUAGAGGUGCCUUAUUGCUAUUAUAAACUAGUUACCAAUGUGAUUAGAGCAGUAAAAAUACAUUUUUCUUCAUACUUAUGGUAUACGGACUGAUAUACCACAGCUGUCUGCCAAUCAGCAUUCAGGGCUCGAACCACCCAGUUUAUAAUGAUGCAUAUCCACCCAGACCAAAUAUACGCUCCUUGUACUUUCCAAAGAUCUCCUAAGGGUCGUUCCAUGUCAUUUCAGCAAGCCAUGAAACCCACAAUCUCAAAUAGUUCUGAAAUCAUUUCUGUAGUUAGAAACAGAUAAGCAUUUCUGCAACAUUCCUUUGUUGAAAAAUAUAUUUUUCUCUGAGAAAUGAAGCUAAUUGAUUGCACCCAAACUGGCCAUUUUAAUAUAUAGGAUUCAUAUAUUAUUCAAUAAUUAUAGUACUAACAUCUGAUUUAGACCAAACUUUUUUCUAACAAUGAGUAAGACAUUUUACAUUUAAGUCAUUUAGCACAUGUUCUUACAGUAGGGAGUGCAUACACUUUCAUACCUUUUUCCCUGUGGGAAUCAAGUCCACAAACCUGGCGAUGCAAGCGCCAUGUUCUACCAACUGAGCUACACGGGACCACAUGAGGAACCCAAAGAAUUGCAAAAACCCACACACAGACCUCCCCGUACCCCACACCAAACCGACCCCAACAAUGAGUAUAUAGUAUCAGAUCUCUAUGUUUGACAAGUAGUCUGGAGCAGUGGCCCUGAGUAUUGUUUCUUCAUCCUAUCUAAUUCUUCCCCUGUUCAUAGAAAUUAAUAAUUGAAGUUGUUUAUGCCCCAUUCUACAUCCUCAUAUUACCAGGUUCUGACCACUACAUGGUGCUGUUCCUGUUAUUAGGUGAUUGUUUUUAAAGAACCCCGUCCCAUGUUAAAGAGGUAGUUGACCCAAAUUACAAUAAAUACAAUUUUGUUUUCUUAUCCUGUAAGCAGUCUAUGGACGAGGUAUGACAAAAACACACACUUUGGUUAUGUUUACCUGGCCACUGUUUCAAAUGCAAACUUUUUAGCAAUUGUGGCACAUCCAAUGCAAGUCAAUUGUACCUAAAUAAGCAUUUUUGCGCUUCAUAUCCAAAUCAUCUAUAAGUAACAGAAACCAAGGGGUGCAAAUUUUUUUUUUCCUGUAUCGCAAGAAUACAUUUACACCAUAGAUCCGUAUAUAAUGACGAGAUGCUCAUGUCUCCGCCCCAAACAACGGGAAUGGUUGUCCCAAAGGCAGGAAGGCAGGCGACAAGCUUAGGUCCCAAAUAAACCCAUAGAAACGCAUUGGGAUUACUUUGGACAGAUGAUUUUGGCGAGGGAAAGCUCUCCCUGCCACUCAAACAACAAAUAUGAGAGAUCACUUCUUUGGCAAACGGUUUCAACUUGCCAUUUGCAUUUGAGGAUUGGUCCAACAGAAUCAGUCAUAUUGACACAAACACAUUGAGACAUUUUACUGUAAUAGAGAAGUUAACCUUUCUAACAAUAACCUUUAAUGUCUCAACUGCUCAAAUUACACGGAACCACUAGAACAUAAUGAACAGUGAUUCUGGAAAAUUUCUCAGUUUAUUGUGCGCACAGCUUGCAGCAUUUUAGCCAAAGAUUGUUAUACUAGCUGUCUAGUCUGUGUUUUAUCAAAUGUACAAUAAGCAUAAAACACAAUUAUAUAUAAGGAAUUGGUAACUCAUUCUCAUGCUAAGAAAUAAGGUUGGCCACUUGAUUUCAACAUCUGAACAAAGUGGACAGGCUAGCUGUUCAAACAGUCGGAGAUUGUUCUGCCUUGUUAGGUAGCAAAUAGAUCCAAGUUGGCUUAACUUGAAAAAAUAAAGAUUAGCUGGCCACUCACUAGCACGUAGGCUUGUGCUUGAGAGAUUGUUUAUGAGACCUGUGUUAAUUUUCUAUAAUGCCUACUACAAGAAGUUAUGCAUACUCCUCCUUCACAUACAACACCCAUUCUGCCGCCCACAUUCUGUUAAUUAAAGGUUCCCAAAGCACACACAUCCCUGGGUUCUCCAUCUCUUCAUUCAAAGACUCAAUCUUACUGACAGUUGUGGCUGCUUCGCGUGAUGUAUUGUUGUCUCUACUUUCUUGACCUUUGUGCAGUUGUCUGUGCCCAAUAAUGUUUGUACAAUGUUUUGUGCAGCUACCAUUUUGUGCUGCUGCCAUGUUGUGUUGCUACCAUGCUGUGUUGCCAUCUUCAGCUCUCUAUACAGGAGGGGGAGAAACUAAAACAGGUCAGUCUCCUGAUCUGGUUCCUCUUCUCUACAGAUCAAUUAUUCAAAUGCUUCUGUAUGGCUACAUUCUGAAACCCCUGAGUGCCCCUGUUUGCUCCUCAUGACAGCUCUUUACUGCCUGUAUUUGAUGUGCAUUACUUGGACUUACUGCUUGAGACGUCAUAGAUGUAGGCUAUUCUCUGAGAACUAAAAUCAGGAUAUUCCAUUUGAAUCCCAUUUGCAGACAAGGUAGGAUAUCAGGCCACCUGUGAUGAUUUGACAGUGAGAGAAGACAUAGCUGAAGUAGCUCAGCCUUCCUCUGAUCCAUCACAGGCCAGGGGUAUCAUUGAUGAGACACAUCAGGAUCAGGGACCACAUAAAAAACUGUGCGUACAUACAAAACGUACCCCCACCAAAAUGUGUGUGUUUUAGUUCACGCAAAAGUUGGCAUUUAUUUAUUUUUAUUUGAACCUCUCCACAAACUUUAGACAAUGACUACGCACAUCUGCUAGUUGUUAAAAUAUUGUAUUGCAAGAUGGCAAGUAAGUAUUUUGUGCAAAUGGGUGAUAUGAUGAAAACCUUAUAAAAUAACAAAAACAGGAAAACAUUAACAAGAAUGCAGCCAUUUGCCAGAAGAGUGAAAAUCUAUGCAUUUUAUUUUUAGGGCUCUACCUAAUCCGUAGUGCUAAAGAUCCACUUCAUAGCACGAUUGACAAUUAAAAAGGCAGUGUUUCUGCGGUCGGGGAGACUAUGUUCAAGGUAGAAGCUGCAUAUGCAUGUCGGCUCAAUCGGAAAUCUGAUUUACAUAUAUAGUGCGUAACGCUUCAGUGAUCCAGAUUGAAUAGAGCCUUUAGAAUCUAAAAUAAUGAGACAGGAAUCUUUUUCAUAUUUAUUCUAUUUAAAUAACCAUUGCAGAACAAAUUCCUCACUUUUUCUGGCUGUGAUGGGUUCAUAUUCUUACCAUGCACAUCUCUAGUUUAAUUAGACAGCCUAGUAAAUAGAUAAGCUUUAUGUAUUUCAAGGCAGCGCGGUUUUAAAAAUACUGUCAACAAUUCCUACCCAUACUGUUAACAACCCGUCAUUUGCAUAGAAUUGUGGGGUGUAGCGUUUAGCCUACUUUUAAAUUGUUUUGAAUAUACAAUCAAUCUUGCAGAAUGCACGGACAGGCCCUCACUUCAUCAGCAUGGUCAGUUUUAAAAGUCACUGCAAAAUAUCUAAACAUUCUGCCCAUACCUCUACAGAAAAUUGUCAUUACUCUUCCUUAUAGAAACAGGGCGUUAGAAUUAGAGGUUGACCGAUUAAUCGGAAUGGCCAAUUAAUUAGCGCCGAUUUCAAGUAUUCAUAACAAAUCGGUAAUUUUGGAAACGGAUUGUGGACGAUUUUUUUUUUUUUUUUACACCUUUAUUUAACUAGGCAAGACAGUUAAGAACACAAUCUUACUUUCAAUGACGGCCUAGAAACGGUCGGUUAACUGCCUUGUUCAGGGGCAGAAUGACAGAUUUUUACCUUGUCAGCUCGGGGAUUCGUUUUUGCAACCUUCCGGUUACUAGUCCAACACUCUAACCACCUGCACUCCACGAGGAGCCUGCGUGGCAGACUGACCACCUGUUACGCAAGGACAGCAAGAAGCCAAGGUAAGUUGCUAGCUAGCGUUAAACUUAUCUUAUAAAAAAUAAUCAAUCUUAACAUAAUCACUAGUUAACUACACAUGGUUGAUGAUAUUACUAGUUUAUCUAGCGUGUCCUGCGUUGCAUAUAAUUGAUGGUGCCUGUUAAUUUCUCAUCGAAUCACAGCCUACUUCACCAAACGGGUGAUGAUUUAACAAGAGCAUUCUCGAAAAAAAGCACUGUUGUUACACCAAUGUGUACCUAACCAUAAACAUUAAUGCCUUUCUUUAAAAUCAAUUCACAAGUAUAUAUUUUUAAACCUGCAUAUUUAGUUAAUAUUGCCUGCUAACAUGCAUUUAUUAUAACUAGGGAAAUUGUGUCACUUCUCUUGCGUUCCGUGUAAGCAGUCAGGGUAUUUGCAGCAGUUUGGGCCGCCUGGCUCGUUGGGAACUGUAUGAAGUCCAUUUAUUCUUAACAAAGACCGUAAUUCAUUUGCCAGAAUUGUACAUAAUUGAAGGUUGUACAAUGUAACAGCAAUAUUUAGACUUGGGGAUGCCACCCUUUAGAUAAAAUAUGGAACGGUUACGUAUUUCACUGAGAGAAUAAACGUUUUGUUUUCUAAAUGAUAGUUUCCGGAAUCGACCAUAUUAAUGACCAAAGGCUCAUAUUUCUGUGUGUUAUUAUGUUAUAAUUAAGUCAAUGAUUUGAUAAUUGAUAGAGCAGUCUGACUGAGCGAUGGUAGGCAGCAGCAGGCUCGCAAGCAUUAAUUCAAACAGCACUUUCGUGCGUUUUGCCAGCAGCUCUCCGCUGUGCUUCAAGCAUUGAGCGGUUUAUGACUUCAAGCCUAUCAACUCCCAAGAUUAGGCUGGUGUAACCGAUGUGCAAUGGCUAGCUAGUUAGCGGGGUGCGCGCUAAUAGCGUUUCAAACGUCACUCGCUCUGAGACUUGAAGUAGUUGUUCCCCUUAAUCUGCAAGGGCUGCGGCUUUUGUGGAGCGAUGGGUAACGAUGCUUCGAGGGUGGCUGGUGUCGAUGUGUUCCUGGUUCGAACCCAGGUAGGGGCGAGGAGAGGGACGGAAGCUAUACUGUUACACUGGCAAUACUAAAGUGCCUAUAAGAACAUCCAAUAGUCAAAGGAAUAUGAAAUACAAAUGGUAUAGAGAGAAACAGUCCUAUAAUAAUUCCUAUAAUAACCUCAACCUAAAACUUCUUCCCUGGAAAUAUUGAAGACUCAUGUUAAAAGGAACCACCAGCAUUCAUAUGUUCUCAUGUUCUGAGGAAAGGAACUUUAACCUUUUUACAUGGCACCUAUUGCACUUCUAGCACCUAUUGCACUUCUACUUUCUUCUCCGACACUUUGUUUUUGUAUUAUUUAAACCAAAUUGAACAAGUUUCAUUAUUUAUUUGAGGCUAAAUUGAUUUGAUUGAUGUAUUAUAUUAAGUUAAAAUAAAAGUGUUCAUUCAAUAUUGUUGUAAUUGUCAUUAUUAAAAAUAUAUAAAAUCGGCCGAAUAAUCGGUAUCGGCUUUUUUUGGUCCUCCAAUAAUGGGCAUCGG